rnacentral:rRNA from 1 species
AGGAUGAACGCUGGCGGCGUGCUUAACACAUGCUAGUCGAACGGGAAUGCCACGCUGAUGCGAUUUCGGUCAAAUCAUGUGGCAUUCGAGUGGCGGACGGGUGAGUAACGCGUGGGUAACCUGCCUUACACAGGAGGGAUAACACCUGGAAACAGGUGCUAAUACCGCAUAAGCGCACAGGGCCGCAUGGCCCGGUGUGAAAAACUCCGGUGGUGUAAGAUGGACCCGCGUCUGAUUAGCUUGUUGGCGGGGUAGGGGCCCACCAAGGCGACGAUCAGUAGCCGGCCUGAGAGGGUGGACGGCCACAUUGGGACUGAGACACGGCCCAAACUCCUACGGGAGGCAGCAGUGGGGGAUAUUGGACAAUGGGGGAAACCCUGAUCCAGCGACGCCGCGUGAGUGAAGAAGUAUUUCGGUAUGUAAAGCUCUGUCAGCAGGGAAGAAAGAAAUGACGGUACCUGACCAAGAAGCCCCGGCUAACUACGUGCCAGCAGCCGCGGUAAUACGUAGGGGGCAAGCGUUAUCCGGAAUUACUGGGUGUAAAGGGAGCGUAGACGGUGAUGCAAGUCUGGAGUGAAAGGCGGGGGCCCAACCCCCGGACUGCUCUGGAAACUGUGUAACUUGAGUGCAGGAGAGGUAAGCGGAAUUCCUAGUGUAGCGGUGAAAUGCGUAGAUAUUAGGAGGAACACCAGUGGCGAAGGCGGCUUACUGGACUGUAACUGACGUUGAGGCUCGAAAGCGUGGGGAGCAAACAGGAUUAGAUACCCUGGUAGUCCACGCCGUAAACGAUGA